GCCCCCCCCGCCCUCCUCCUCCUCCUCCAACCCCCACCCCACCCCUUUCGAGCAAUCCCGCAGCGCUGCCUGCCGGAGAGCAGCGACUUCCAGUGGAGAGAUGGCGGCCACCGCGGGCAGAUCGCUGCUGCUCGUCCUCUCCAGGACUCCCGGCGGCGGAGGAAGCGGCGGAGGCGGCGGCGGACCGGCGUUGACCGCCGCCGGUUGCUUCUUGGGACUGGAGCGGCGCCGUCAGCACCAGCACCAGCACCAGCAGCCGAGGCACAGGACGACGCACCAAAGAUUUCCUCCUUUGCAGACUAUGGGAGCUGUCUAUUGCAGUACUGUAGUGCCCUCUGACGACGUUACAGUGAUUUACCAAAAUGGGCUACCAGUGAUAUCCUUGAGUCUUCCUUCUCGGCGUGAACGCUGCCAGUUUACACUUAAACCUCUUUCAGACUCCGUCGGAGUAUUCUUACAACAACUCCAGGCAGAAGACCGGGGAAUCGACCGAGUUGCAAUUUAUUCACCAGAUGGGACACGAGUAGCAGCUUCCACAAGCAUAGAUCUCCUACUUCUUGACGAGUUCAAACUAGUAAUUAAUGACUUGAGUUACCACGUCCGUCCACCAAAGAGAGAUCUCUUAAGCCACGAAGAUGCCACCACGUUGAAUGAUGUGAAGACUUUGGUUCAGCAGCUCUAUACCACACUGUGUAUUGAAGAACACCAACUGAACAAGGAGAAGGAAUUGAUUGGGAGGUUAGAAGACCUCAAGCAGCAAUUGGCACCCAUGGAAAAAGUCAGGAUGGAAAUUUGCAGAAAAGCAGAGAAGAGGACAACCUGGCUACUGUGGGGUGGGCUGGCUUACAUGGCAACCCAGUUUGGAAUCUUGGCUCGGCUUACCUGGUGGGAAUAUUCUUGGGACAUUAUGGAGCCAGUCACCUACUUCAUCACAUAUGGCAGCGCCAUGGCAAUGUAUGCAUACUUUGUAGUAACGCGUCAGGAAUAUGUAUAUCCAGAUGCUAGAGACAGGCAGUACUUACUAUUUUUCCAUAAAGGAGCCAAAAAGACACGUUUUGAUCUAGAAAAAUACAAUCAACUCAAGGAUGCUAUCGCUCAGAUAAUGUUAUUUACAGCUGAUUUUAUAAAGUUGAUAUAGUUUCCAGCCCAGAAGAAAGUUGAUUAAACCUGCAGCACAUUGGAAUGAUAAAGCACUCCAGCUAGUUCUUGACUUAUGAUCACAAUUGGGAUUGGAACUUCCAUCAUUAAAUGAUGCGAUUAUUAAGCAGAAUUGGACCUUAAGAGACUUCGGGAUCCCUUACAGGUACAUCUACCUGUCCAACAAAUCAGUGAUAAAGACUGAUCGUCAGAGGAACCUCUUUAUCUUGACAGAAGUGGCAGAUCUUUUCAAGCUCUUGCCUCUUUCAUUAGAAAGCAUUUCAGGUGGAAGCUGGAAGGUCUUCUUGGGGUGGAGGGUUUUUAAAUCAUUAAAACAGAGACCUUGACUGGGGAGGGGGUAAUGUGUUCAGUCAAAAAAUAAUAAUAAUAAUAAUCAGGCACUAUGGAAUGCUAAGUCUUUUCAAAGGGCUUAAAGAUUGUCUCAUUCAAACGUUUUUUCUUUUGGAUGAAAAUAUAUAGAUUAUAAAGGUGGGCAUUUCAUGAAGAAAUUGUAUCGGGGACAUAUUUUUCCAGCUUUUGCAGUGUCUGCGUCUUGAAGAAGCACUAGCAGCCUGCUCAGCAUUUUUUUUUAAAUCUCUUUCAAACUAUUGCACAAUAAUAGUGCACUAAACAAAAGAAGGAAACAAUCAAGCCAUUUUAAAGACACCAUGAUUGGUGAUCCAGAUUGAAGUAAACGUCUCCAUUAACGUGCAACCCGA